GCCGGGAUGGUGGAAUUGGUAGACACGCUUGACUUAGGAUCAAGUGCCGCAAGGUGUGCAGGUUCGAGUCCUGUUCCCGGUA
rnacentral:tRNA from 1 species